CUUACACAUGCAAGUCGAACGGCAGCGCGGGGCAACCUGGCGGCGAGUGGCGAACGGGUGAGUAAUAUAUCGGAACGUGCCCUGGAGUGGGGGAUAACGCAGCGAAAGUUGCGCUAAUACCGCAUACGAUCUAAGGAUGAAAGCGGGGGAUUCGCAAGAACCUCGUGCUCCUGGAGCGGCCGAUAUCUGAUUAGCUAGUUGGUGGGGUAAAGGCCUACCAAGGCAUCGAUCAGUAGCUGGUCUGAGAGGACGACCAGCCACACUGGAACUGAGACACGGUCCAGACUCCUACGGGAGGCAGCAGUGGGGAAUUUUGGACAAUGGGCGAAAGCCUGAUCCAGCAAUGCCGCGUGAGUGAAGAAGGCCUUCGGGUUGUAAAGCUCUUUUGUCAGGGAAGAAACGGUGAAGGCUAAUAUCCUUUGCUAAUGACGGUACCUGAAGAAUAAGCACCGGCUAACUACGUGCCAGCAGCCGCGGUAAUACGUAGGGUGCAAGCGUUAAUCGGAAUUACUGGGCGUAAAGCGUGCGCAGGCGGUUUUGUAAGUCUGUCGUGAAAUCCCCGGGCUCAACCUGGGAAUUGCGAUGGAGACUGCAAGGCUAGAAUCUGGCAGAGGGGGGUAGAAUUCCACGUGUAGCAGUGAAAUGCGUAGAGAUGUGGAGGAACACCGAUGGCGAAGGCAGCCCCCUGGGUCAAGAUUGACGCUCAUGCACGAAAGCGUGGGGAGCAAACAGGAUUAGAUACCCUGGUAGUCCACGCCCUAAACGAUGUCUACUAGUU
rnacentral:rRNA from 1 species